GACCCAAUGGCCAGUGGUGGCGCCUGCCCCGCAUAAACAAGCGGUGAGUCAUGCCCGUGGGAAGUCCUGGUUCGAUUCCGGGUUGGGUCA